CGCACACCCCUCCAGGAGCAGCCACCAGCCUCCCCUCGAGAGCCAUCGCUGGGCUGCUGGGCCUCCAGGGGCAGGUGCUGACAGAGGGGACAGCCGACGAGAGGCAGGAGGUGCUGCCCUGGGAGAGGCAGCAGCGGAAAUCACUGUGGGAAGGGGGCGGCUGUGGUGGCCAUGAUGUGGUUUCUCCAGGGCCCCUGUGGUGACAGCCUGGGCACUGUGCCUGCUUCCUGUGGCUUCUUCACCCCCAGAGAGCCCUCGCUGGGGCACGUCCUCUUUCCCCGGGGCUGGGGCUGCAGCUGGGAGCCCAGAAGGGACCCUUCUCAGACCCUGGAGACCUCCCACUCUUUAUCUCCUGGGAUGCUGGAGCUGGCACCCCCGUUUUAUAGAAGAGGAAAUUCAGGUUCAGAGAGGGACAGUGGCUGGUCCAGGACCACACAGCGGAAGAGCUGUGCCAGGCACCCACAGCUGUUGGCUCUUCCCCUUUCCUGUCUCAUUUCCCCACACUCCUCAAGGUGAAUCCUGGGAUUACAUCCAAGCAAACAACUCGCACUUGAAUCCUUGUUCUAGGUGGGCUUCUGGGGGCACUGAAUGGAGACAUUCAGUCAGUCAUCAAGCACGAUUGCACUCCUACCCUGAGCCCAGCCCCUGUGCACACAGGACAGGCCCUAAAAGUGUUAUUUAUAACCCCGAUUUGUGGAGGAAGUGGGUAAGAGCCUGGACUCUGGGUUCAAAUAUCCAGUCUACACCUACUGGACGUGUCACUUCACCUUCCUGUGCCUCAGUUUCCUCAUUGGUGAAGUGGGAUCGUGAUGGUGCCUUCCCCACUGGAUUGAUGUGAGUUAAAUGAGCUAACAUAGGGAAGAGCCGAGGAGACAGCCUGCGUGGUGGUCUCCGCGUGGGCACCUCCUGUGUGCCACAAGCCUGCACAGAGGGCUUGGCCCAUGCGGUCACUGAUGAGGCAGGGGCCUUCACACCUCCACCUCACAGAUGCCAGGCGGAGGGUCGGCAGGAUUGGAAGUGGCCAGGUGCUCACAGCUGGUAAGGGGUGGUGUCGAGAUGGAACCUGGGCCAGGCUGACUCAGACACCCCGGCCCCGCCGACAGGGCGGCUGUGACUCAAGUUUGCAGGAAAGGGGGAAGGGUGGGGUAAGCGGCACAACCACUGUUUUCUCAGAAGUGGAAAUGCAUUUGGUGACAUCUAAACAUGGUGUGCUCGGGGCUGGCUGAACUGAGAAGUGGACAGUGACACGGCCUGGGAGUUUCUUAACACAACUGGCUUGACAAGGCCACGGGGAGGUGUGUGGCCUCAGCAGCGGCAGCUGGCUUUCAACCUGGGCCUCUGACGCCUGGGCUUGGCCACAACUGUGACUUGGGUUCAAUCCCCGGCAGUAGGGGAUGCCCAGGCUGGCACAGGAGCCCCGAGUCCUCUCUGGCUCUGCCCCAACCUUCCUGGACCAUCCUCACACCCAGGAAGGCCUCUUGGGCUCCUUGGAUACCGGAGGAGAGGCAAGCAGCUGGGACAACAAGGGACAGCACCCCCAACUUGCAGCGAGGAAGCUGAGGCUCCGAAAGCACCCCUGCACCCAUCUGAGGUCCUGCAUUGUCCGCGCCGAGCUGCGUGCGACUCAACGCGGCUCCCGAACCGGCUGUUUGUGCCGUGUGCCGGGUACAGCUGCCAGCUCCUCCCACCCAGCCACAUUCUGUCAAGCUGGGGCUUACAGAGUGGCUUCCGCUGGGGAUGUCUUGUCUUCCAUCCUUCACUCAACGAACACAGUCAGACAUCAGGCUCUGUGGCCAGAAUCUUGCAGGACAGUCUCGGCCCUCCCUCACGAAGUACCAGACCACAGGGUGACAGAACCUAAACUGUCUGUCACCAUCUAGGAGGCAGGUGCUAGGAGGGUGAGCAGCUGGAGAAGGCCCUGAAGGUGGCCCGUGGCCAUCAAAGAAUUUCCCGGGGAGGAUGCCUACUGAAUCCUCUAAAGCCUGUCCGCUCUCAGCCGGGCCAGCUGCUGCAAGGGGCCUGAGGGGUGGAGAGGGAGCUCCAGGCAGAGGGAGCAGCAGGCAAGGAAGCUCAGAGGCCAGCAUGUGCAGCCCAUCUAAGGGAUCCCAGAUGAUCGGGGCCCCGCAGUGCAGGAUGAUGGGGGAGCAGUGCCAACAGAUGAGCCCAGAGAUGGCUUGCCCACUCGGGAGCUGUUUCCUACUCUGCUCAGCGGGUGAUCACAAGGAAGCCGAGAGAACAGGGGUGGCAAGGGGCCCUGGGAGGGCCUCGGGCUGCCUGGGCAGGUCCCAGCUGGCGGGCUUGUCCCUGCUGCCUUUGCCUGAGCGUGUGGGAGGCUCGCGCCCAGCAGCCCAGACGGAGAGAAUGGAGCUGCUGUGUCUGUGUUGGCCUGGCAGCCCCGGGACACUCCUGCUUCAGCUCCAGUCCCCAGCGUCUCACCGCAGGGGCUCCGAGAAGCAUGGUUGUGAGAGUGAGCGGAGACGCGUGGGAGGAG
ensembl:lncRNA